rnacentral:sRNA from 1 species
GCUGGGCAUAGUGGCACACGCCUGUAAUUCCAGCAACUCGGGAGGCUGAGGCAAGAGGAUUGCAAGUUCUAGGCCAGCCUCCUCAACUUAGCAAGAUCCUGUCUCUA